rfam:Danio rerio chromosome 4, GRCz11 reference primary assembly.
GCUGUGAUCGUAUAGUGGCUAUUACUCUGUGUUGUAGCCGCAGCAACCUCGGUUCGAAUCGGGAUCACGGCA